UACGUAGGGUGCAAGCGUUGUCCGGAAUUACUGGGCGUAAAGCGCACGUAGGCGGCGAUUUAAGUCAGAGGUGAAAGCCCGGGGCUCAACCCCGGAAUAGCCUUUGAGACUGGAUUGCUAGAAUCUUGGAGAGGCGAGUGGAAUUCCGAGUGUAGAGGUGAAAUUCGUAGAUAUUCGGAAGAACACCAGUGGCGAAGGCGGCUCGCUGGACAAGUAUUGACGCUGAGGUGCGAAAGCGUGGGGAGCAAACAGG
rnacentral:rRNA from 1 species